rnacentral:rRNA from 1 species
AUUGAACGCUGGCGGCAGGCCUAACACAAGCAAGUCAAGCGGAUGAGUGGAGCUUGCUCCAUGAUUCAGCGGCGGACGGGUGAGUAAUGCCUAGGAAUCUGCCUGGUAGUGGGGGACAACGUUUCGAAAGGAACGCUAAUACCGCAUACGUCCUACGGGAGAAAGUGGGGGAUCUUCGGACCUCACGCUAUCAGAUGAGCCUAGGUCGGAUUAGCUAGUUGGUGAGGUAAAGGCUCACCAAGGCGACGAUCCGUAACUGGUCUGAGAGGAUGAUCAGUCACACUGGAACUGAGACAUGGUCCAGACUCCUACGGGAGGCAGCAGUGGGGAAUAUUGGACAAUGGGCGAAAGCCUGAUCCAGCCAUGCCGCGUGUGUGAAGAAGGUCUUCGGAUUGUAAAGCACUUUAAGUUGGGAGGAAGGGCAGUAAGUUAAUACCUUGCUGUUUUGACGUUACCAACAGAAUAAGCACCGGCUAACUUCGUGCCAGCCGCCGCCGUAAAAC